ACACGUAAGGGGCAAGCGUUGUUCGGAAUUAUUGGGCGUAAAGGGUGCGCAGGCGGUUAUCUAAGCCUGAUGUAAAAGGCUCCGGCUCAACUGGAGGGAUGCAUUGGGAACUGGGUAACUUGAGUAUAAGAGGGGGAGUUGGAAUUCCAGGUGUAGGGGUGAAAUCUGUAGAUAUCUGGAAGAACACCAGUGGCGAAGGCAAACUUCUGGCUAUAUACUGACGCUGAGGCACGAAAGCGUGGGGAGCGAACAGGAUUAGAUACCCUGGUAGUCCACGCCGUAAACGAUGUGCACUAGGAGGUGGGUAGCAGUAUUCAUCUCCGUAGCAAACGCGAUAAGUGCACCGCCUGGGGAGUAUGCUCGCAAGGGUGAA
rnacentral:rRNA from 1 species